rnacentral:lncRNA from 1 species
GGGAAGGACAUGGUGGUAAAUGCUUGUAAUCCCCACCACGAGAGAGACUGAGGCAGGAAAAUUGCAAAUUUGAGGCCAGCUUGAGCAGUUUAGCAAGACCUUGUCUCAAAAUGGAGAUGUAACUCAGUAGCACAGUGCUUGCCUAGUUCACAGAAGAGUCUUGGUUUCAUUCCCAGCACCACAUAAAAAUAAAUUUAAAGGGAAGUGGGCUUGGGAUGUAGCUCUGUGGUAGAAUCAUGCCAGACAAGAGUGAGACACUAGAUUCAUGACCAGCAAAACAAAGAAAAAGGAAAGGAAAUGUGAUCUCUUUUGAGAGCUGGGCACCAGGACAAGCACCUAUUUUUCCAGCACUUGGGAGGUUGAGGCAGGUGGAGUCCAGGAGUUGGAGACUAGCCUGGGUAAAUAGAUCAAAUAGACCCUGUCUCAAAAAAAAAACAACAUACUUUCCAAAACACUUUCAAAAAGUACAAAACCUUUCAAUUCAGCAUCGCACUGCUGGCAAUCUGCCCUCAAAAAUAAGACAAGUGAUUAUAAAAUGUGUUCAAAGUCCUCUACAUUUACUACAUCAUUGUAAUGGUCAAAAUUUGAAACAGUGGGUUUCCCUCAAUAUUCAUAAAUUGGACUCUUAGCCUUGAAAAGCUGUUUAUCAAUACCAGUAGACUAAGGGAUUUCUGUGAUGUAUUACUAUGGAGCAAAAGAAGUACAUAUCACAUAAUCUUGUCUUUGCAAAACAAAAAGCCUAUAUGUGGGGGCUGGGGAUAUGUUGGUAAGUGUUACCUCGCCUGCACAAAGCCCUGGGUUCAAUCCCUAGCACCACCAAAAAAAACAAAAACAAAACCCUAUAUGUGUGUGUGUGCAUGUUUGUACUACCCCUCAGUUACAGAACCCCACUGGGAUAUAAAAUCUGUGGUUGCUCAGAUUAUACAAAAUGGUAUAGACUUUGUGUAUAACUUGUGCAUAUCCUCAUGUAUAAUUUAUCUCUAGAUGACCUCUCGUACCUAACAGAAUGUAAAUGCUAUGCCAGUAGCUGUUACACUCUACUGUAUUUUCUUUUUUCCUGAAUAUUUUCCAUCCAAAGUUGGCUGAAUCCAUGAUGGGGAACGAGUAGGUAGCUGACUGUAUAGAGAAAGCUACUGAGAGUUGCACAGCACAUCCCCUGUCAUUGGUAAGGGAUGGGUGGUGCACAUCUGUAAACCCAGGUAUUCGGGAGACUGAGGCGGGAGUAUGGCAAGUCAAAAGCCAGCUUCAGCAACUUAGUGAGGCCGUGUCUCAAAAUAAAAACAAGGGCUGGGCAUGUGGCUCAGUGGUAAAGUGCACUGGGUUCAAUCCCCAGUUUAAAAUCAUCUAUUUUGAAAAUGGAGAGAAGGAAAAAUUAUACUGUAAAUACAAGUUCUCUGGAGGAGGGAAGAGCCAUUUGAUGUCUGAGCAGCUAUUGAGUGCAAAACAUGUUGGAUGCUACAGUAAAUGAAGAAAAAUCAUAGCCUAACAACGGAAAAGAAAAAUACACAAAUAACAGCUAAUAAAUAAUGAACAUCAGGGCUGCAGCUGUGACUGUCCCAUGGGGCAGUCAUUUUCACGCUUUCUGGUUAUUUCAGCUUAAUUGCCUCUUUUGAGCCAGGAUUUUUUUUUGAGUAUUUUUAAAUUACCAAAUUAAAAUAUUUUGAUUAUUUUUAUUAUGAAUUUCUACUUUUGUUACAGUUAUAACAUUAUCUUGAAAUAUCUAAAAAGCAUGCCCCCUCUGUGGUACCAGGGAUUGAACCCAAGGGCACUUAACCACUGAGACAUAUCUCCAUCCUUUUUUUUUUUAUUGAGACUGGGUCUCACGAAGCUGGUUAGAGCCUAAGUUGCUGAGGUUGGCCUUGGGAUCCUUCUGCCUCAGUCUCCAG